UGAAGUCACGGGUUUGCUCACCCUGAUACUGCGUGAUAUAUUUUCUGAAAAUUAUUGUUAACAUAUCAAGUGAGUGGAUCAUUUAUUAAAGAAACACAUUAGAGCAUAAGGAACUCGGACCUGUAUACCAACUGGAAAAGAUGCCAGGUGAAACGAGAAUUGAGCUGUAUUGCUUGGUUUGCAAAAUGCACACCGGUACCGUCGGUCUAGAAGUCUUCCAAGAAGGAAACAAAACCCGCGCAAGGGGGAUUUGUUCAGUUUGCAGAGGAAGAAAAUCUAGGUACCUGAAAUAACAAGGAAACGAGCGCAAUGACAGCCAAACGGGACGUUUUUCUAUAACAAAAUAAUUGGAUAAUCAUAAAAUCAUACCACUGUGAACAUGCACUGUUUUGCAAAACUCACCUGUAUAAAAAUGGCCGAAAUUGAAUAUUUGUUUACUGUUUCCAAACUCUUCGUCCUUAAGUUGCAAAGUGUUAGACUCUUGAAAAUAGAGUAUUCCAAAUAGCUUGUAAACUGAAAAUAAAUAAAUUUUAAUUAUU